rnacentral:rRNA from 1 species
GCAUCGAUGAAGAACGCAGCGAAAUGCGAUAAGUAAUGUGAAUUGCAGAAUUCAGUGAAUCAUCGAAUCUUUGAACGCACCUUGCGCCCCUUGGCUAUUCCGAGGGGCAUGCCUGUUUGAGUAUCAUGAACACCUCAACUCUCAUGGUUCRCCAUGAUGAGCUUGGACUCUGGGGGUUUUGCUGGCCUGCGGUCGGCUCCCCUCAAAUGAAUCAGCCUCCCAGUGUUUGGUGGCAUCACGGGUGUGAUAAAUAUCUACGCUCGCGGUYGUCUGCCAGGUAACCUUUGGUGACAAAGGUUYGCUGGAGCUCACAGAUGUCUCUCCUCGGCGAGGACAGCUUUUUUGAACGUUCGAUCUCAAAUCAGGUAGGACUACCCGCUGAACUUAAGCAUAUCAAUAAGCGGAGGAAAAGAAACUAACAAGGAUUCCCCUAGUAACUGCGAGUGAAGCGGGAAGAGCUCAAAUUUAAAAUCUGGCGUGCCUCUGGUCGUCCGAGUGAGUCAGRGAAG